rnacentral:rRNA from 2 species
UAAGUAUAAGCAACUAUACGGUGAAACUGCGAAUGGCUCAUUAAAUCAGUUAUCGUUUAUUUGAUAGUACCUUACUACUUGGAUAACCGUGGUAAUUCUAGAGCUAAUACAUGCUAAAAACCUCGACUUCGGAAGGGGUGUAUUUAUUAGAUAAAAAACCAAUGCCUCCGGGCUCCUUGGUGAUUCAUAAUAACUAAACGAAUCGCAUGGCCUUGCGCCGGCGAUGGUUCAUUCAAAUUUCUGCCCUAUCAACUUUCGAUGGUAGGAUAGUGGCCUACCAUGGUAUCAACGGGUAACGGGGAAUUAGGGUUCUAUUCCGGAGAGGGAGCCUGAGAAACGGCUACCACAUCCAAGGAAGGCAGCAGGCGCGCAAAUUACCCAAUCCCGACACGGGGAGGUAGUGACAAUAAAUACUGAUACAGGGCUCUUUUGGGUCUUGUAAUUGGAAUGAGUACAAUUUAAAUCCCUUAACGAGGAACAAUUGGAGGGCAAGUCUGGUGCCAGCAGCCGCGGUAAUUCCAGCUCCAAUAGCGUAUAUUAAAGUUGUUGCAGUUAAAAAGCUCGUAGUUGAACCUUGGGCCUGGCUGGCCGGUCCGCCUCACCGCGUGUACUGGUCCGGCCGGGCCUUUCCUUCUGGGGAGCCGCAUGCCCUUCACUGGGCGUGUUGGGGAACCAGGACUUUUACUUUGAAAAAAUUAGAGUGUUCAAAGCAGGCCUUUGCUCGAAUACAUUAGCAUGGAAUAAUAGAAUAGGACGUGCGGUUCUAUUUUGUUGGUUUCUAGGACCGCCGUAAUGAUUAAUAGGGAUAGUCGGGGGCAUCAGUAUUCAAUUGUCAGAGGUGAAAUUCUUGGAUUUAUUGAAGACUAACUACUGCGAAAGCAUUUGCCAAGGAUGUUUUCAUUAAUCAGUGAACGAAAGUUAGGGGAUCGAAGACGAUCAGAUACCGUCGUAGUCUUAACCAUAAACUAUGCCGACUAGGGAUCGGGCGAUGUUAUCAUUUUGACUCGCUCGGCACCUUACGAGAAAUCAAAGUCUUUGGGUUCUGGGGGGAGUAUGGUCGCAAGGC